CAACCCUCGAACCUCCGUUUCCUCAGGGAAGCUCAGGGUCGGUGUUGGGGCGCUACGGCGAGUCUUCGCGACCCUCCGUAGGCCCUGAAAUACAGUGGCGGUCCCGCCGCGGUUGCCUUCUGCGUAGUAAGUCUCUUUUGCAAGCUCGCAUUGGGUCCCGGCGGAGGCCUGCCGUCAAACCACCUAUAACUCCAGAUG
rnacentral:misc_RNA from 1 species